rnacentral:rRNA from 1 species
GAUGAACGCUGGCGGCGUGCCUAAUACAUGCAAGUCGAGCGAACAGACGAGGAGCUUGCUCCUCUGACGUUAGCGGCGGACGGGUGAGUAACACGUGGAUAACCUACCUAUAAGACUGGGAUAACUUCGGGAAACCGGAGCUAAUACCGGAUAAUAUAUUGAACCGCAUGGUUCAAUAGUGAAAGACGGUUUUGCUGUCACUUAUAGAUGGAUCCGCGCCGCAUUAGCUAGUUGGUAAGGUAACGGCUUACCAAGGCAACGAUGCGUAGCCGACCUGAGAGGGUGAUCGGCCACACUGGAACUGAGACACGGUCCAGACUCCUACGGGAGGCAGCAGUAGGGAAUCUUCCGCAAUGGGCGAAAGCCUGACGGAGCAACGCCGCGUGAGUGAUGAAGGUCUUCGGAUCGUAAAACUCUGUUAUUAGGAAAGAACAAAUGUGUAAGUAACUAUGCACGUCUUGACGGUACCUAAUCAGAAAGCCACGGCUAACUACGU